rnacentral:lncRNA from 1 species
GUGAGAAGCUGCUACUGACCAGCAGAGGGAAGUGGCGGCAGCUGGUGUUGGGGCUGAGGGCUUCCAGGCCAGGCUGGGAAAGGGCUCUCAGUGUAGCAAGGGCAGGGAGAAGGCCCAGGCUGGAAGGUCCACUCCUCAUUCUCCCUGCCCCACCCUGCCAUGCCCAUCCUGAUGGUCACCAUGGCCUGUACCAGGCCUCCGGCGGAGAAGCUGGGCACCACGUACUUCACGUCAAAGUCGCGAGAGGCCGCGUAGGGGGUGCGCGGGCACUGCCAGUCCUCGCCCGCCGCGGGCUUGGCAGGCAACAGCAGCAGCAACAGGAAGGACUGAGGCAGCGGCGGGAGGAGCUCCAUCGAGGCGAGCUGGGACCCUAGAGGAUCCCUACCGGCCUGGGCCUGGACCUGGGCGUGGGCCUGGCUGGGGGCCCGACUCGAGGUCUGGACUGGGCCAAAUUUAAGCAGCGGUCCCGACAGCCCCAAGAUAGCGGACCCCCGCCCCAGGUUCCUGUGAAACCCAAAUCCCUUCCCGGCCCUCGGGUCUGAGCACCUGACGCCUGCGGACGCACGACAGCAACGCCCCAGCCGCCUCACCUGCCGCCCCAGCCGCCGCUGUACACUGGCGCUUAGCGCUCAGCCGACCCGAGGGCGCCGGGCUGGGCGGGCGGAGUCGGGCCGUGGGGGCGGGGCCGCGAGGAAGGCUUGGCCUAGCCCAGGCCCUCCGCCCAUCCGACUCUUCCGGCCCUUGGAGGCCUGGCUCCUGUACCUUCACCUGGCGUCUUGGCGCCUUUUUCUCAGCGGCCUGUGGGUGGAUGUGCAUGGUGUGGCCUGGAGAGAGGGGGAUUCUCACUCUCUCCAAAGGCAAAGCCCAUGUCAGAGGCAACUUUGGUCCUCGCCGCAGCCCCAUGAGGCCAGCAGUGUUGUUAUCUUCUGUUCAGGAUCAAGCCACUGUUCCCUUCUGCCACUGUCUGCCAUGGAUGAUGCUUCUCUGCAACUUACAGCCCACCAGUCUCCUCUCAUCGUACUGGAAAGAAGACCCAAACCACUCAUGGCAGCAGUGGUGGCUGAAGCUCCACGUGCAAACAGAUAGGGAAGCAGAGCCUGUAUCCUGACAGCUGGCCUGGUGGCCACUCCUGCACUGAGCCUGAAGGACCGCAGAGCACAUGGAGGGUUGGGCACCACUGCCAACAGCAUCACCCCACACAGAAUAAAACCAAAGAAAGAAGGUUGGGGAGAUAAUCUGGGGAUUUUCUAGGCCCCCAGUCCCAUCCAUCAGGACAAUCAAGAGUAAUGGUUCCCAGCAAGAGUCAGAGCCCAGAAGGAAAAGGCGCAGGCUGCCUUGUCAGACAGUGGGCCAGAGGAACUAAGAGGCUGCAUGCCCUCAACAGGAACCUGCGGUAGCAUCCACAGAGGUCCCCUCUGAGACUGAGACUAAGAGGAGCAAUCCAAAACAACCACCACAACACCACAAGGCCCAGGAUGCUGAAUGCCAAGGAAACUAGGGCAUGUCUAAGUCUUGCGCAAGAACACACAGGCCACGUAAAUCUCAUAGACCAGUAAUUCCAAAGCUAUCCUAAAAGCCAGAGUGGGCUCUGAGAGAUGAGUCUGCCCAAGUGCAGGCCAAGAGUAAGCUGCUCCUGACAGUACCAGGGUUGUGGCCAGGGCUUCCAGGCCUAUCUGGGCUCAAGCGAUCCUCCUACCUCAGCCUCCUGAGUCGCUGGGAACACAGGCGUGAGCCA